rnacentral:rRNA from 1 species
AACGAACGCUGGCGGCAUGCCUAACACAUGCAAGUCGAACGAGACCUUCGGGUCUAGUGGCGCACGGGUGCGUAACGCGUGGGAACCUGCCCUUAGGUUCGGAAUAACUCCCCGAAAGGGGUGCUAAUACCGGAUAAUGUCUUCGGACCAAAGAUUUAUCGCCUUUGGAUGGGCACGCGUUGGAUUAGCUAGUUGGUUGGGUAAAAGCCUACCAAGGCGACGAUCCAUAGCUGGUCUGAGAGAAUGAUCAGCCACAAUGGGACUGGGACACGGCCCAGACUCAUACGGGAAGCAGGAGUGGCAAAUAUAGGACAACGGGCGAAAGGCUGAUCCACCAAUGCCUCGUGAGUGCCGAAGGCCUUAGGGUUGUAAAGCCGCUUUAUCCGGGAUGAUAAUGACAGUACCGUGAGAAUAAGCCCCGGCUAACUCCGUG